rnacentral:tRNA from 1 species
GAGGGGAGAGCAUAGUGGUAGAGCGCAUGCUUAGCGUGCAUGAGGUCCUAGGUUAUAUCCCUAGUACCUCCA